GCUAAUUGCCGAGGUCCUCUUCUAGGAUUGGUUGUCCACUCAUAACCAUAAGAUAAUUAAAACGGGGGGGGGCAGGGUAAAAAAAAAACCCUUUUAUCAGCCAUAGGUUAAUGCAAGUGUUUAACAGAUGCUUCGCUAUUAAAAUAUUUCCCCCCAAUACUGAAGAAUCUUAAACCAGGCUAGAGCGCCAGCGCUCCUCUGACCCGGCACACUUUGGCAAAGUUGCAGUGGCCUGUUUGCUUAGGCACUGAAGUGGAUGACCCAAGUUAGGAUGACAACUUGCAGAGAACGCGGAUGAGACCUUCAGUUUGUGCCCACACUCAUUUGCAGCAACCCUAACAGAGAUUGCGAAGAUUUUCAAAGUGGGGCACCUCGAUUUCUCGAAUCUGUGGUGUGGCGAAUAUCCGUGUUCCUCCUGCUUAACUAGCCUGUUUGAAGGCACAGUUCAUUCUCGAGCAAUUCGUCACCUCCUGGGGGUCUUCUCUUCCCGUCUACAGGAGAGUGUGACUUCAGAAAGAACUUCGGAUUGGCCAAGGCCAUUAAAGCUGGUGAGCGACUUGGAAGUCAUUUAGAAAGGAACAGACCUUCAACCUCAAGCCUUUGCGGGCACUGGGAAAGUGUCUUCCCAAUCAAUCUGGCUUGCAGGCGGCAGGACCAACUCUGACCUGGCUUAUCUUGUACCCAUCCUAAAUACACCAAACUCAAGAGGUAGCCAGGGCCGCCUCAACACCGAGGCAGGUCUGAUUCUAUUUAUUCUAAAGACAGAGUUGGAGAUGGGCUACCAUUGGUGUUGAUUGAGAUGACAAGCAGUCACCUGAGCCCAUACAGCUGGUAAGUAGAACAGUACUGGAGAGAUGGCUCAGCAGUUAAGAGCACUGACUGCUCUUCCAGAGAUCCUGAGUUCAAUUCCCAGCAACCACAUGGUGGCUCACAAACAUCUGUAAUGAGAUCAGGUGCCCUCUUCUGGUGCCUUUGAAGACAAAGACAGUGUAGUGUCAUAUAUAUAAAAUAAAUAAAUCUUUAGAAAUUUGAAAAUAA
rnacentral:lncRNA from 1 species